AUGCCAGACUCCUACGGGAGGCAGCAGUGGGGAAUAUUGGACAAUGGGGGGAACCCUGAUCCAGCGACGCCGCGUGAGUGAAGAAGUAUUUCGGUCUGUAAAGCUCUAUCAGCAGGGAAGAAAGAAAUGACGGUACCUGACUAAGAAGCCCCGGCUAACUACGUGCCAGCAGCCGCGGUAAUACGUAGGGGGCAAGCGUUAUCCGGAUUUACUGGGUGUAAAGGGAGCGUAGACGGCGAUGCAAGUCUGAAGUGAAAGGCGGGGGCCCAACCCCCGGACUGCUUUGGAAACUGUAUGGCUGGAGUGUCGGAGAGGCAGGCGGAAUUCCUAGUGUAGCGGUGAAAUGCGUAGAUAUUAGGAGGAACACCAGUGGCGAAGGCGGCCUGCUGGACGAUGACUGACGUUGAGGCUCGAAAGCGUGGGGAGCAAACAGGAUUAGAUACCCCCGUACA
rnacentral:rRNA from 1 species